GACGAACGCUGGCGGCGCGCCUAACACAUGCAAGUCGAACGAGCGAGAGAGAGCUUGCUUUCUCGAGCGAGUGGCGAACGGGUGAGUAACGCGUGAGGAACCUGCCUCAAAGAGGGGGACAACAGCCGGAAACGGCUGCUAAUACCGCAUAAUGCAUCGGAUUCGCAUGUUCUGAUGCCAAAGAUUUUAUCGCUGAAAGAUGAGCUCGCGUCUGAUUAGCUAGUUGGCGGGUAACGCCACCAAGGCGACGAUCAGUAGCCGGACUGAGAGGUUGAACGGCCACAUUGGGACUGAGACACGGCCCAG
rnacentral:rRNA from 1 species